GUCCUAAGUGUAUUGCGACAUUGUAUCUGGCAGCGAAGUGUCAAAACUUCAAGGCUUCGUAGACUCAAAGGUAAUAAUAAACAGGAGUUUACCUGGAAUUGGAACAGCAAAGUUGAUGUACGAAGAAGAAAAUUGCUGGGCCACCUUUAAUAGGUUAAAACUCAACAGAACCCAACGCUUUGACUCGGAUGUCCGUAGCAUUCUGGAAGAAAAAUGCGCUUUGCUCUUUUACACUAAUAUUUUAAUCGAUAAUCAACCAGUAUGCAUUUGGGCAUUGCCCCACCCGGUGGUUCAGAUUUGUCAUCUCAACCAAGAGCGGGUUGUUGCGGGUACAAUCUUUUGCGUAAACUACUUUCCAAAGCUACAAGAUGUACCGCCGCUAGCAGAAGGUGAUUGGAUUACAUCGAAAGUCUUUUUGAAUGGAAUAUGGAAGGGAUACUAUUUCUAUUGGGAAUGGUUUUAUAACCUUUUGAAGUUACUGGAGCCCAGAAUUCCCCGUAACGAUGUCAGAAACACGUUCGUGCAUGCCAUGUACGAAGCUGGUCUCAUUUCUGGCUUUAUAUGUAAUGAAAAGGCUGCAGAUCUUCUGAGCGAUUAGCCUGUUGGUACUUUUUUAAUUCGGUUCUCAAAAAAAAGCUUAGGAGCUUUACAAGUAUCCAAAAUGACCCCAAACCGAGUGCUGGCCAGCCACGAAGUAUUGAACUCAGAUCUUAGAGAUCAAGGCUUAGCCCGUUGUAUUCACAAUAUAGAUGGGGCAAAAUUCUUGCUUUCCACCUUUUUACAUGAUGUCAGAACUAGAGAUGAAGUCUCAUAUCCGAGACUUACAAAUCCUGGGACCUAGGAGGAUUUUGCGUUGAGGGUAUAUAUGACUGAGGCUAAUCUUGGCUUUGGCCACGAAAGUCUCGGGGUUUUUGAGAGGAAAACUGUGGUCUUCUUCUUAGAAUUAAGAAUGUGAUUUAAGUAAGUUUUAUAUGAUAAAUCAUUUUGUGAUAGAGGUUUGACUUUGAUAAAAAAUAGCCACGCUAGUCUUUAGACUAAGAUUACCCACUGAGGAUAUGAGUUAUACAUGUAUGUAUGUUGAUUUUGUAUACUUGUUAGACAGGGAAUAUUAUUAAUUUUUUUUUUUGCUUUUCGAAAAGUAUUUCUAUUUAAUGAAAAGAGUUAUAGGUAGGCAAACCUUAGCUCUAUAUAUAUGUACCCUUUCGAUUCCAUUCUACAAAGCUCUAACUUUAUU